GGUUAAGUGAAUAAGGGCGCACGGUGGAUGCCUUGGCACUAGGAGCCGAUGAAGGACGGGACUAACACCGAUAUGCUUUGGGGAGCUGUAAGUAAGCUAUGAUCCAGAGAUUUCCGAAUGGGGGAACCCAAUAUCUUUUAUAGGAUAUUACUUUUCAGUGAAUACAUAGCUGAUUAGAGGUAGACGCAGAGAACUGAAACAUCUUAGUACCUGCAGGAAGAGAAAGAAAAUUCGAUUCCCUGAGUAGCGGCGAGCGAAACGGGAAGAGCCCAAACCAACAAGCUUGCUUGUUGGGGUUGUAGGACUCCAAUAUGGUAGUCUGUUAGUAUAGUUGAAGGAUUUGGAAAAUUCCGCUAAAGAGGGUGAAAGCCCCGUAGACGAAAUGCUGACAACACCUAGGAGGAUCCUGAGUACGGCGGAACACGAGAAAUUCCGUCGGAAUCCGCGGGGACCAUCCCGCAAGGCUAAAUACUCCCUAGUGACCGAUAGUGAACCAGUACCGUGAGGGAAAGGUGAAAAGCACCCCGGAAGGGGAGUGAAAUAGAUCCUGAAACCGUGUGCCUACAACAAGUCAAAGCUCGUUAAUGAGUGAUGGCGUGCCUUUUGUAGAAUGAACCGGCGAGUUACGAUUGCAUGCGAGGUUAAGUCGAAGAGACGGAGCCGCAGCGAAA
rnacentral:rRNA from 1 species